rnacentral:rRNA from 1 species
GGUGAACGCUGGCGGCGUGGAUGAGGCAUGCAAGUCGAAUGGGUUUAGACCCAUGGCAGACGAGGUAGUAACACGUAGGUACGUGCCGUAGAGUCGGGGAUAACCUGGAGAAAUCCAGAAUAAUACCUGAUAGUCCCUUCGGGGUAAAGAUUUAUCGCUCUAUGAACGGCCUGCGGUCUAUCAGCUUGUUGGUAAGGUAACGGCUUACCAAGGCUACGACGGAUAGGGGAGGUGAGAGCCUGACCCCCACCGAUGGAACUGAGACACGGUCCAU